rnacentral:rRNA from 1 species
AUUGAACGCUGGCGGCAUGCCUUACACAUGCAAGUCGAACGGUAACAGGUCUUCGGAUGCUGACGAGUGGCGAACGGGUGAGUAAUACAUCGGAACGUGCCUAGUAGUGGGGGAUAACUACUCGAAAGAGUGGCUAAUACCGCAUGAGAUCUACGGAUGAAGGCAGGGGAUCGCAAGACCUUGUGCUACUAGAGCGGCCGAUGGCAGAUUAGGUAGUUGGUGGGAUAAAAGCUUACCAAGCCGACGAUCAGUAGCUGGUCUGAGAGGACGAUCAGCCACACUGGGACUGAGACACGGCCCAGACUCCUACGGGAGGCAGCAGUGGGGAACUUUGGACAAUGGGCGCAAGCCUGAUCCAGCAAUGCCGCGUGCAGGAUGAAGGCCUUCGGGUUGUAAACUGCUUUUGUACGGAACGAAAAGCCCCGGGUUAAUACCCUGGGGUCAUGACGGUACCGUAAGAAUAAGCACCGGCUAACUACGUGCCAGCAGCCGCCGUAA